AGCGGCGGACGGGUGAGUAACGCGUGGGUAACCUGCCCUGUACACACGGAUAACAUACCGAAAGGUAUGCUAAUACGAGAUAAUAUGCUUUUAUCGCAUGGUAGAAGUAUCAAAGCUUUUGCGGUACAGGAUGGACCCGCGUCUGAUUAGCUAGUUGGUAAGGUAACGGCUUACCAAGGCGACGAUCAGUAGCCGACCUGAGAGGGUGAUCGGCCACAUUGGAACUGAGACACGGUCCAAACUCCUACGGGAGGCAGCAGUGGGGAAUAUUGCACAAUGGGCGAAAGCCUGAUGCAGCAACGCCGCGUGAGCGAUGAAGGCCUUCGGGUCGUAAAGCUCUGUCCUCAAGGAAGAUAAUGACGGUACUUGAGGAGGAAGCCCCGGCUAACUACGUGCCAGCAGCCGCGGUAAUACGUAGGGGGCUAGCGUUAUCCGGAAUUACUGGGCGUAAAGGGUGCGUAGGUGGUUUCUUAAGUCAGAGGUGAAAGGCUACGGCUCAACCGUAGUAAGCCUUUGAAACUGGGAAACUUGAGUGCAGGAGAGGAGAGUGGAAUUCCUAGUGUAGCGGUGAAAUGCGUAGAUAUUAGGAGGAACACCA
rnacentral:rRNA from 1 species